UAUUCGAGUAGAGGCGCAUUUAUUAAAAGUAUAUUUCAGGAACUUGAAAAGAAGUGAUGACUGAAAUAAAAAGGGAUGAAUGCCGAAAUGAGUAACCACUUUUUCUGGUUGGUUGUUGGGUCUUAAUUUAAGAGAUUAAGGACUGUCGUAGUUUGAUACUACGGAGCGCUAUCAAGAUG
rnacentral:ncRNA from 2 species